GACUUACCAAUUGACUCUGCUGUGUUUGACAGAUGGGAAUUGUAGUCGUAACAUUGGAUGAAAUAGGAAAGACAGAGUAGUAGAGCUCUUUGGAGGAUCCUCCAUCUCAGGAAGGCCCCAGUAUUGCCAGGCUGGGAGAAACCCAAGCCAUGAGGAUAGACCAUGAAUAGGAGUUCUGGUUGACAAUCCCAGUUCACUCCCAGCUUCAAAUACACAAGGCCAAGUGCCAGAUACGGGCAUAAAAAGCAAUUUUGGAAGUGGACACUCCAGUCCCAGCUGUCCUUCCCAGCUGAGGCCUCAUCAUUGAGGUGCAGAAAAGGGGCAUGCCCAUUGUGCCUGUUUCUAAAUUCCUGACCCACAGAACCUGUGAGCAUAAUACAAGUUUACUAUUUUAUACCAGUAAUCAGCAAUACAACUGGGAUUUGAUAUCAGAUUCAUGCGAUUCCGAAGACCCUGACCACCAAAUGCAAAAGGAGAGUGGGGUGCUGGUGAAAACAUAUCCAAAAAUGUGGAAGCGACGUUGGAACUGGGUAACAGGCAGAGGUUGGAACAGUUUGGAGGACUCAGAAGAAGACAGGAAAAUGUGGCCAAGUUUGGAACUUCCUAGAGACUUGCUGAAUGGCUUUGAACAAAAUGCUGACAGUGAUAUGGACGAUGAAAUCCAGGCUAGGUGGUCUCAGCUGGUGAUAAGGAACUUGUUGGGAACCGGAGUAAAGGUGAGUCUUGCAAACACACUGGUGGCAUUUUGCCCGGCCCUAUAGAUUUGUAGAACUUUGAACUUGAGAGACAUGAUUUAGGGUAUCUGGCAGAAGAAAUUUCUAAGCAGGAAAGCACUUACGAUGUGACUUCGGUGCUGUUGAAAGCAUUCAGUUUUAUAAGGCAAGCAGAGCAUAAAAAUU
rnacentral:lncRNA from 1 species